rnacentral:rRNA from 1 species
UACGUAGGGGGCGAGCGUUGUCCGGAGUUACUGGGCGUAAAGCGCACGCAGGCGGUCUGCUAAGUUUGGAGUGACAGUUGGUGGCUUAACUGCCAAAGUGCUUCGAAAACUGACAGACUUGAGGGCUUCAGAGGGACACGGAAUUCCGGGUGGAGUGGUGAAAUGGCGUAGAGAUCCGGAGGAACACCAAAGGCGAAGGCAGUGUCCUGGGGAGUACCUGACGCUCAGGUGCGAAAGCCAGGGGAGCGAACGGG